rnacentral:rRNA from 1 species
UACGUAGGGGGCUAGCGUUGUUCGGAUUUACUGGGUAUAAAGGGUGUGUAGGCGGUUAUAUAAGUGUGGAUUUAAAUACUUGAGCUCAACUCAGGAACUGGUCUGCAAACUGUAUAGCUAGAGUUCAGGAGGGGAAGCUGGAAUUCCACGUGUAGGGGUGAAAUCUGUAGAGAUGUGGAAGAAUACCGGCGGCGAAGGCGAGCUUCUGGCCUGAAACUGACGCUGAAACACGAAAGCAUGGGGAG